rnacentral:rRNA from 1 species
AUGGUGGACAAAUUUAGGGGUCGCAAGUCAUAUCCCUCCCAAAAUGUGCUAGCAGUUGUUGACUUCGACCUUCGGUUCACAUAUGUUCUAGCUGGUUGGGAGGGCUCUGCCCAUGAUUCUCUUGUGCUAAAAGAUGCCCUCUCACGUCCAACAGGUCUGAAAAUACCUGAAGGGAAAUUUUUCUUGGCUGAUGCCGGGUAUGCUGCAAGGCCGGGGAUAUUGGCUCCUUGUCGUGGUGUGCGUUACCACCUAAAUGAAUUUGCUGGACCCCAUGAACCAACUACGGAAAAAGAAUUAUUCAACCACCGUCAUUCAUCACUUAGGACCACAGUUAAACGAGCAUUUGGGGCUCUUAAGAGUCGCUUCAAGAUUCUUACUCAAAGGCCCUUCAUACCUUUAAAAUCUCAGAUUAAGGGGUAG